rnacentral:lncRNA from 1 species
GUUUGGGUUUUGUAUAGAAUAUUAACAUAAAAAAUGGGAUGGGCGAUACUUGAACGUGUAGGAUUUUUACACGUUGAUUUAUAUUUACGAAUGAUGUUUUUGUAGCGUUGCUAACAUUUAGUUAAAAUUGUGACAAGUUUGUGAUAUCGAAAACCAUGAUGGUGUAAUCAUUUUUCAGUCAUUCAUAGAUUGUUUUUGUAAAAUUAUACGCGAGCAAAAUCGAACAAGUUGAGAAAUGUAAACACCAUACGAUGUUGCCAAAGGACUGAAAAAUACCUACAGGAAAAUCGUCUCUUUUAUCGUAUAUUUCAAUAUUAACCUUCGCUUUGGUGAGUCUUUUUUAGGCGAAAUGCGCGUCUGGCGUAAUUAUAAAAUUUCAAUCCUGGUAUCUAUGAUGAGUUUAUUUGGAGAUGAAUUUUCAAGAUUACGACAGUUGUCCUUGUUAUUAUUAGCUUAGUUUAAAUCAAGUUAAAAAAAUAGUUUAUAAACUGAGUCGUCAUUAUUGAGAGCCACAAUAUCAGUCAGAGAUUAUUAAUCUUAACAUUAUCAUACUCGUCAUUGGUGUUUUUUCACCAAAUGAAUCGUAUAAAACACGUCAAGUAAUGUGUCAUCUUAAUCCUGACCUUUUACUCAACAAUCUGGGCUUGAUUAUGAUAUAGUUAUCAAAGUUACCAGGAUUAUAAUUUAAUACGCCGAACGCGCGUUUUGUCAACAUAAGACUCAUCAGUGACGCUCAGAUCAAAAUAGUUAUAAAGUCACACAAGUACAAAGUUGAAGUUAAUAUGCCUCACGAAGAGUAGAUUAUUAUGUACACUUCUAAAACAGCUGACGUAACUCUGUUUUAUUUUCUUCUGUUU